UAUUUACUUUCCUUCUCUACCUGUUGGUUAAAUUUCACUUUCUCUUAUUUAUGUGCUCUGUGGAUGUAAACAUCCCAUUUCAUAUACAUAAUAAAUCUUUACAGCAAUAACAUCAAUUUUCCAAAACAGAUAGAUAAGUAUUGCAAAAGAAAAUGAUCAAUAUACUAUAGCUAAGGACAAAGAGAUUUUGCAAUUCUUUAUUUUUGUCUUUUAAAUGAAUUGAUCUUUAAUUUAAGUCAAUAGCAUAAAAACUUAUACCUACAUAACAUAANNNNNNNN
rnacentral:lncRNA from 1 species